CACCUUCACCACUACCACCACCACCAGCACCAACACCACAGCCACUACCACCAGCACCAACACCACAGCCACCACCACUACCAACACCACAGCCACCACCACCACCACUCUGACAGCAGACUGUUUACCCCAUCAGACUCAUCUAGUCACUAUCAAUCUGUCCCGGGUGGAGUAAAGAAAAACAACACACACACACACACACACACACACACACACAGACACACACACACACACACACAACACACACACACACACACACA